UUGGAGGGCAAGUCUGGUGCCAGCAGCCGCGGUAAUUCCAGCUCCAAUAGCGUAUAUUAAAGUUGUUGCAGUUAAAAAGCUCGUAGUUGAAUUUCGGAAUUCUUUUAUCGGUUGAAUCAACAGGUUCGUACUGAUUUUAAGAAUUUCUACCUUCUGGAGAACCUUAAUGUCAUUUAUUUGGUGUUUUGGGAAACCAGGACUGUUACCUUGAAAAAAUUAGAGUGUUUAAAGCAGGCUUAUGUCUGAAUAUAUUAGCAUGGAAUAAUGAAAUAGGACGGCAUGGUUCUAUUUUGUUGGUUUCUAGGAUCACCGUAAUGAUUAAUAGGGAUAGUUGGGGGCAUUAGUAUUCAAUUGUCAGAGGUGAAAUUCUUGGAUUUAUUGAAGACUAACUUCUGCGAAAGCAUUUGCCAAGGAUGUUUUCAUUAAUCAAGAACGAAAGUUAGGGGAUCGAAGACGAUCAGAUACCGUCGUAGUCUUAACCAUAAACUAUGCCGACUAGGAAUCGGACGAAGUUAAUUUUUAAUGACUCGUUCGGCGCCUUACGGAAACAUCG
rnacentral:rRNA from 1 species